AUUGAACGCUGGCGGCAGGCUUAACACAUGCAAGUCGAGCGGAGAUGAGGUGCUUGCACCUUAUCUUAGCGGCGGACGGGUGAGUAAUGCUUAGGAAUCUGCCUAUUAGUGGGGGACAACAUUCCGAAAGGAAUGCUAAUACCGCAUACGUCCUACGGGAGAAAGCAGGGGAUCUUCGGACCUUGCGCUAAUAGAUGAGCCUAAGUCGGAUUAGCUAGUUGGUGGGGUAAAGGCCUACCAAGGCGACGAUCUGUAGCGGGUCUGAGAGGAUGAUCCGCCACACUGGGACUGAGACACGGCCCAGACUCCUACGGGAGGCAGCAGUGGGGAAUAUUGGACAAUGGGGGGAACCCUGAUCCAGCCAUGCCGCGUGUGUGAAGAAGGCCCUAUGGCUGUAAAGCACUUUAAGCGAGGAGGAGGCUACUGAGACUAAUACUCUUGGAUAGUGGACGUUACUCGCAGAAUAAGCACCGGCUAACUCUGUGUCAGCCGCCGCGGUAAGAC
rnacentral:rRNA from 1 species